AUGGUGGGCCCAUUCAAGACGGCGCGCGGCGGCAUGACGCAUUUGCUCGUCGCCGUGGACAAAUUCACCAAGUGGAUUGAGGCAAAGCCGAUCAAGAAGCUGAAUGGGCCGACUGCUGUGACAUUCAUCGCAGACAUAACAACUCGGUACGGCGUGCCACACAGCAUCAUCACCGACAAUGGCACGAAUUUUGCCAAAGGAGCCUUGGCACGUUUCUGCGCAGCCCAAGGUAUCCGGCUGGACUUAGCGUCCGUCGCCCACCCACAGUCAAACGGCCAGGUCGAGCGAGCCAACGACCUCAUCCUCUCCGGCAUCAAGCCCCGACUGGUCGUACCACUGGAGCGUUCAGCCGGCUAUUGGCUCGAUGAGCUGUCGGCUAUCCUCGGGAGUCUGCGCACUACCCCAAACAAGUCAACCGGAUUCACCCCUUUCUUCCUUGUGUAUGGUGCCGAGGCGGUCAUCCCAACUGACAUCGAGUUCGACUCGCCUCGAGUAACCAUGUACACGGAAGCGGAGGCCAAGGAAGCACGAGAAGACGGUGUCGACCUGUUGGAAGAAAGCCAGCUAUUAGCCCUCAGCCGGUCCGCCAUCUAUCAGCAGGGCCUGCGCCGCUACCACAGCCGGAAGGUCAAGCCAAGAUCUUUCCAAGAGGGCGAUCUUGUGCUCCGGCUGAUCCAGCGAACAGCCGGCCAUCACAAGCUCUCGGCCCCUUGGGAGGGCCCCUUUGUCAUCAGCAGAGCCUUAGGCAAUGACUCCUACUACCUGAUCGACGCGCAGAAGCCGAAGGCACGAAAGAGAGACGACUCCGGCUAG
rnacentral:rRNA from 1 species